UUCAUCACCCUUUCUCUUCUUCAAAACGUAACUCUGCUUUCUGCCUCUCUUGCGGAGACGCUUGCAGAGCUACAUCACACAGAAUGGCACCAACCAAAUCCGAAAGAUUCGCUUCUGGUGAGGUGGCUAAGUCCUCUGAUGAUGGAUUAACAAUUGAUCAAGGGAUCGCGUGUGUGUUGAUGUUGGUGGCUUUGGCGCUAACGUACCUCAUUCAUUGAAUUUGACUUCUUCAAUACCGUCGUCCUUUAAGUAUCGUGAUCAAGAAAGAUGCAAAAGAUAGUGUUCGUCUAGAUUGGUCUAGGGAUCUUGUUUCUUGUAUAGUUUAAGAUUUGGUGUCUUGAAUUGGCGUCCGAGAGAAAAUGAUGGUUUUCGUUUUGUCAUGAGAGUUUCCUGUUAAAUUUAAUGAAUUGAAACAAUAUUCUGAAACUUAUUGCAAUGGCUAUGUUAAACCAUUGAAGAUCUUCUAUGUACAACAUUUGUUUGGAUCAAGGACCAAGAAAAGAAAAUACAAACGAGGCCGU
rnacentral:lncRNA from 1 species